rnacentral:rRNA from 1 species
CCUACGGUGGGCAGCAGUGGGGAAUAUUGGACAAUGGGCGAAAGCCUGAUCCAGCCAUGCCGCGUGUGUGAAGAAGGCCUUCGGGUUGUAAAGCACUUUCAGUGGGGAAGAAAGCCUUGGGGCUAAUACCCUCGAGGAAGGACAUCACCCACAGAAGAAGCACCGGCUAACUCCGUGCCAGCAGCCGCGGUAAUACGGAGGGUGCGAGCGUUAAUCGGAAUUACUGGGCGUAAAGCGCGCGUAGGCGGUCUGAUAAGCCGGUUGUGAAAGCCCCGGGCUCAACCUGGGAAUGGCAUCCGGAACUGUCAGGCUAGAGUGCAGGAGAGGAAGGUAGAAUUCCCGGUGUAGCGGUGAAAUGCGUAGAGAUCGGGAGGAAUACCAGUGGCGAAGGCGGCCUUCUGGACUGACACUGACGCUGAGGUGCGAAAGCGUGGGUAGCAAACAGGAUUAGAUACCCUGGUAGUC